GAUGAACGCUAGCUACAGGCUUAACACAUGCAAGUCGAGGGGAAACGACAUCGAAAGCUUGCUUUUGAUGGGCGUCGACCGGCGCACGGGUGAGUAACGCGUAUCCAACCUGCCCACCACUUGGGGAUAACCUUGCGAAAGUAAGACUAAUACCCAAUGACGUCUCUAGAAGACAUCUGAAAGAGAUUAAAGAUUUAUCGGUGAUGGAUGGGGAUGCGUCUGAUUGGCUUGUUGGCGGGGUAACGGCCCACCAAGGCGACGAUCAGUAGGGGUUCUGAGAGGAAGGUCCCCCACAUUGGAACUGAGACACGGUCCAAACUCCUACGGGAGGCAGCAGUGAGGAAUAUUGGUCAAUGGACGAGAGUCUGAACCAGCCAAGUAGCGUGCAGGAUGACGGCCCUAUGGGUUGUAAACUGCUUUUAUAAGGGAAUAAAGUGAGUCUCGUGAGACUUUUUGCAUGUACCUUAUGAAUAAGGACCGGCUAAUUCCGUG
rnacentral:rRNA from 1 species